rnacentral:rRNA from 1 species
AGUCUCAGUUCAGAUUGUAGGCUGAAACUCGCCUAUAUGAAGUCGGAAUUGCUAGUAAUCGCGGAUCAGCAUGCCGCGGUGAAUACGUUCCCGGGCCUUGUACACACCGCCCGUCACACCAUGGGAGCCGGUAAUACCCGAAGUCAGUAGUCCAACCUCGUGAGGACGCUGCCGAAGGUAGGAUUGGCGACUGGGGUGAAGUCGUAACAAGGUAUC